GAAUGCUGACAUAAGUAACGAUAAAGCGGGUGAAAAGCCCGCUCGCCGGAAGACCAAGGGUUCCUGUCCAACGUUAAUCGGGGCAGGGUGAGUCGACCCCUAAGGCGAGGCCGAAAGGCGUAGUCGAUGGGAAACGGGUUAAUAUUCCCGUACUUGGUGUUACUGCGAAGGGGGGACGGAGAAGGCUAUGUUGGCCGGGCGACGGUUGUCCCGGUUUAAGCGUGUAGGUGUGUGUUCCAGGUAAAUCCGGUUCACUUUAACACUGAGGCGUGAUGACGAGGCACUACGGUGCUGAAGCAACAAAUGCCCUGCUUCCAGGAAAAGCCUCUAAGCAUCAGGUAACAUCAAAUCGUACCCCAAACCGACACAGGUGGUCAGGUAGAGAAUACCAAGGCGCUUGAGAGAACUCGGGUGAAGGAACUAGGCAAAAUGGUGCCGUAACUUCGGGAGAAGGCACGCUGACA
rnacentral:rRNA from 5 species